rnacentral:hammerhead_ribozyme from 1 species
GUACUUCCGAUGAGUCACAAAAUAGGACGAAACAGUUGUCCAGUAC